rnacentral:rRNA from 1 species
CCCUUAGAUGUUCUGGGCUGCACGCGCGCUACACUGAAGCGUUCAACAAGUCUUAACCUUGGCCGAUAGGUCUGGGUAAUCUUUGAACGCUGUUCGUGAUUGGGAUAGACCUUUGCAAUUAUGGGUCUUCAACGAGGAAUUCCUAGUAAACGCAAGUCAUCAGCUUGCAUUGAUUACGUCCCUGCCCUUUGUACACACCGCCCGUCGCACCUACCGAUUGAAUGGUCCGGUGAAAUCUCGGGACGGCGGCUUGGUCGCUUGCGUCCGACUGCUGAAACUUGAUUAAACCAUAUCAUUUAGAGGAAGGUGAAGUCGUAACA